GUCCCUAAGUUCAACUAAUCUUUUAUCAUAACCGCUGUGUUUUUUUUUUGUUCUCUAUUGGUGUGUAACUGCUUUCAGUAGUUAUGUGUUGUUGAAAUAUUUCCUAUCAGGUACAUUUCAGCACAUCAGCGAAAUAUGGCAGCAGCCUUCUGUUGUAUUCUGAGCUGCCUCGAGCACUUUGUUGUCUUAGUGUUGGCCCUAGCUCUCCUUGGCGCAUAUCUCCGGGGAGGGACAAGAGAGAUAUUAAGGCUUCUAAUUCUCGGCAUUAAGCAAAUUCCUGGAUUGUCCGGCUUGCUGGGGUCAGUGCUCAAAUCGGAAUCUGCAAGUUUUCUGAAUUCCACGAACCUGGCACCGAAGGUUGGCGAGAAUGCCAAAAUUGUGUUGCCUAAAAAAG
rnacentral:sRNA from 1 species